UUCUUGCAGAAAAGCGGUGGUGGCUGUGACGUUGACGCAGGCUGGAUGGUCAUUCUUGAUCCACUAAACCCGGAUAGUCGUGAUUCGUGUGUGUGGGACCAAGUGAAGCUCGCAGCGCGUCCAGUCUUCCGCUAUUGCCCCAAUGCGAGCAAUUGCAAAAACAAUGAAUACGUUGCUGCCGACACAUUUCUGAUUUUGGUGCAGCGUGCCUAAUACAGGACUACACGGCAGCCUGGCAGAUAUCAUAGGAAAGCCACGGCACGUCGUCUACUACAGCACUGAUUGUGUAGGACGCACCCAGCACGCAGGGUUCUACAAAUGCGACUUCUAACCCAUAUUCACCACUGCUGACAGUUAUGUCUGGUUUCAGAAUACCGGUAUAUAAUAAAAAUUAAUAUCUUAAUAGUUUAACAUUCA